ACGUAUGACCUCAUUACCCUGGAUGUGCCCAAUCUCAUCAGAUAUAGGAAAAAAAGUAGGGUUACCCCUAGUUAGUACAUGGUUGGGAGACUACAUCCCUAUACUAGUUGUUAUAGGCU
rnacentral:rRNA from 1 species